GACGAACGCUGGCGGCGUGCUUAACACAUGCAAGUCGAACGAUGAAGAAAAGAAUUGAAGCUUCGGCAGAAAUUCAUUUCGGAUUAGUGGCAGACGGGUGAGUAACGCGUGAGCAACCUACCUCUUACAAAGGGAUAGCCUCGGGAAACCGGGAUUAAUACCAUAUAACAUUGCGACGAAGCAUUUCGAUGCAAUCAAAGCUACGGCGGUAAGAGAUGGGCUCGCGUCCCAUUAACCAGAUGGUGAGGUAACGGCUCACCAUAGUAACGAUGGGUAACCGGCCUGAGAGGGUGAACGGUCACACUGGAACUGAGACACGGUCCAGACUCCUACGGGAGGCAGCAGUGGGGAAUAUUGCACAAUGGAGGGAACUCUGAUGCAGCGACGCCGCGUGAGUGAUGAAGGAAUUCGUUUCGUAAAAUUCUGUUCUAUGGGAAGAAAAGGACUGUACCAUAGGAGAAAGCUCCGGCUAAAUACGUG
rnacentral:rRNA from 1 species